rnacentral:misc_RNA from 1 species
CCAAACUUGGUCAUUUAGAGGAAGUAAAAGUCGUAACAAGGUCUCCGUAGGUGAACCUGCGGAGGGAUCAUUACCGAGUGAGGGUGGCCCAACCGCCCGACCUCCAACCCAUUGUUGGACCAACCUCGUUGCCUCGGGGGCGACCCGGCCUCCGCGUCGGCGCCCCCGGCGGACCACAUCAACAACUCUGCGUCUUUGCGUCUGAGUCUGAAGCAAAUCGAUUAAAACUUUCAACAACGGAUCUCUUGGUUCUGGCAUCGAUGAAGAACGCAGC